rnacentral:rRNA from 1 species
UGGGGAAUUUUGGACAAUGGGCGAAAGCCUGAUCCAGCAAUGCCGCGUGUGUGAAGAAGGCCUUCGGGUUGUAAAGCACUUUUGUCCGGAAAGAAAUCCUUGGCUCUAACACAGUCGGGGGAUGACGGUACCGGAAGAAUAAGCACCGGCUAACUACGUGCCAGCAGCCGCGGUAAUACGUAGGGUGCAAGCGUUAAUCGGAAUUACUGGGCGUAAAGCGUGCGCAGGCGGUUUGCUAAGACCGAUGUGAAAUCCCCGGGCUCAACCUGGGAACUGCAUUGGUGACUGGCAGGCUAGAGUAUGGCAGAGGGGGGUAGAAUUCCACGUGUAGCAGUGAAAUGCGUAGAGAUGUGGAGGAAUACCGAUGGCGAAGGCAGCCCCCUGGGCCAAAUACUGACGCUCAUGCACGAAAAGCGUGGGGAGCAAAACAGGAUUAGAUACCCUGGUAGUCCACGCCCUAAACGAUGUCAACUAGUUGUUGGGGAUUCAUUUCCUUAGUAACGUAGCUAACGCGUGAAGUUGACCGCCUGGGGAGUACGGUCGCAAGAUUAAAACUCAAAUGAAUUGACGGGGUCAUAGCUGUUUCCU